rnacentral:tRNA from 1 species
AAGAACUUAAUUUAAAAUUUAAAAUAUAAUGUUGUCAACAUUGUUAUACUCCCGUACGGAGUAGUUCUUG